GACAGAGGGUGCAAACGUUGUUCGGAAUUACUGGGCGUAAAGCGAGUGUAGGCGGUUCGAUAAGUCGGAUGUGAAAGCCCCGGGCUCAACCCGGGAAGUGCACUCGAUACUGUCGAGCUAGAGUAUCGGAGAGGUUGGUGGAAUUCUCGGUGUAGAGGUGAAAUUCGUAGAUAUCGAGAAGAACACCGGUGGCGAAGGCGGCCAACUGGACGAAUACUGACGCUGAGACUCGAAAGCGUGGGGAGCAAACAGG
rnacentral:rRNA from 1 species